UAGCUCAGUCGGUAGAGCAACGGACUGUUAAUCCGUGGGUCGUUGGUUCGAGCCCAACUCGGGGAGCCA
rnacentral:tRNA from 1 species